CUCUCCUCCUCCUGCGCCCCUCCGCCCUUUUCCUUGUUUCGUUUUUCAUAUACAUAGAGAGACAAGGUACUUACCUUGAUUCCUCCCUUUCUUUUCUCUUUGUUUCUUCCUUAGCUGUAAACUCACAAGAACUCCUUUCUUAUAUUUGGUUGUUUCUUUUGCUUCUUGCUCUUGUUUUUGCUUUCUGUAAAACCAGGGGCCGGUUUUUGGUCUAUUAUUACCUCUCAUUUUUUAAAUAUUGGGUUUUGGUUUUGUGGGCCAAUAGAGUACGAAGGUUCCUACUUGGGAUCGUUACUCUCUGAUGGAAAUGUGUUACUGAGGAGAUUUCUGCUUUUUUUGUCUAUCUUUCUCUGUAUAUGAACCAUCUACUACUCCUUUGCAUGUUUGAGGGUAAAGAAGAUCUGGAAGUGAGCUUGCUUUGCAGGUGAUCGGAAUGAAAGAUGCUGAUGUUUAAUUUUUAGAUGAAGGCAGCUGUUCUGCAACUUCCGUGAAAGAUUUAAUCUUUAUCCCCCAUAUGUAUUGAAAUAGCAGGUGCAGCCUUAUUGUUCACAAUGUUAAAACCUUUAGCUCUUAGGCUGCUGUUGCUUUCUUUACUCUUGAUAUCAGUAUCUGCAAAUGACAAUGGCUUUCCCCGGUGUAAUUGUGACGAUGAGGGCAGUUUAUGGAGCAUAGAGAACAUUUUAGAUUGCCAAAGAGUGAGCGAUUUCUUGAUUGCCGUGGCCUAUUUCUCGAUCCCUAUUGAGCUGCUAUACUUUGUUAGCUGCUCAAAUGUCCCGUUCAAAUGGGUCCUCUUUGAGUUCAUUGCCUUCAUUGUCCUUUGUGGAUUGACUCAUUUGCUCAAUGGCUGGACUUAUGGCCCUCAUCCAUUUCAGCUCAUGCUUGCCCUCACUGUCUUCAAGAUUUUAACUGCUUUGGUUUCUUGUGCCACUGCCAUUACUCUCUUCACCCUCAUUCCUUUACUUCUCAAAGUGAAGGUAAGAGAAUUCAUGUUGAAGAAAAAGGCAUGGGAUCUUGGCCGUGAAGUUGGGAUUAUAAUGAAGCAGAAAGAAGCUGGACUGCAUGUUCGUAUGCUUACUCAAGAGAUUCGAAAAUCGCUUGAUAGGCAUACUAUUCUUUAUACAACCCUUGUUGAGCUAUCUAAGACACUGGGGUUGCAGAAUUGCGCAGUGUGGAUGCCUAAUGAGAUCAGAACAGAGAUGAAUUUGACCCAUGAGUUGAAUGGGGGUAAUUAUUCAAGUAUGGAUAAUUGUUCAAUACCAAUUACUGAUCCUGAUGUUGCUAGGAUUAAAGGGAGUGAUGGAGUGAACAUACUUAGGCCUGAUUCAGCACUUGCUGCUGCAAGCAGUGGAGACCCUGGUGAGCCAGGGCCUAUUGCUGCAAUUCGAAUGCCAAUGCUUCGUGUUUGCAAUUUCAAAGGGGGAACUCCAGAGAUGAUUCAGGCUUGUUAUGCAAUAUUGGUGCUUGUUCUUCCAGGGGGACAGCCUAGAUCUUGGACCAACCAAGAAUUAGAGAUAAUUAAAGUGGUAGCUGAUCAGGUGGCUGUGGCUGUCUCCCAUGCUGCAGUUCUGGAAGAGUCCCAGCUCAUGAGGGAGAAGUUGGAGGAGCAAAACCGAGCCUUGCAACAGGCAAAAAUGAACGCAAUGAUGGCAAGCCAGGCUAGGACAGCAUUUCAGAAGGUAAUGAGUGAUGGUAUGAAGAGACCUAUGCACUCUAUUUUAGGCCUGAUUUCAAUGAUACAGGAUGGUAGGCUCAGUAGUGAGCAACAGAUCCUUGUUGAUGCAAUGAUGAAGACUAGCAAUGUCCUAGCAACAUUGAUAAAUGAUGUGAUGGAAAUUUCAACAAAGGAUAGUGGAAGGUUUCCAUUGGAGGUGAGAUCUUUCCGGUUACAUGCCACUAUCAAAGAGGCUGCUUGCCUUGCCAAGUGCUUAUGUGUUUAUAGGGGCUUUGGUUUUUCAAUUGAGGUUGACAAAUGCUUGCCUGAUCAUGUCUUGGGUGAUGAGAGGAGGGUUUUUCAAGUGAUUUUGCAUAUGGUUGGUAACCUGCUGGAUGGCAAUAACAUAAGAGGAUCUGUGGUACUUAGGUUUUUCUUGGAGAAUGGAAGUCAGGAAAGGAAUGAUCAUAAAUGGGCAGCUUGGAGAUCUAGCACGACUGAUGGAGAUGUAUAUAUCAGAUUUGAAAUCACAAUGAACAAUGAUGGUUUUGAAUCAGAGGGUUCAAGUUCAGUCAUGCAGCUUGGUGGUAGGACGUAUGCCAGUGAUGGAAUUGAUGAGGGCUUGAGCUUCAGUGUUUGCAAAAAGCUGGUCCAGUUGAUGCAUGGUAAGAUCUGGUUAGUCCCUAACUCUCAAGGUUUUCCUCAAAGCAUGGGGCUAGUUCUUCGGUUUCAACUUAGGCCAUCCAUUUCAAUAGCCAUCUCUGAAUCUGGAGAAUCUUCAGAGCACCCACAUUCCAACUCUCUUUUCAGAGGCUUGCAAGUUUUGUUAGCUGAUGCAGAUGAUGUGAACAGAGCUGUGACCCGGAAACUGCUUGAGAAGCUAGGUUGCUGUGUUGCUACUGUUUCAUCUGGAUUUGAAUGCCUUAGCAUCAUUGGGCCAACUACAUCUUCUUUCCAAAUUGUUCUUUUGGAUCUGCAGAUGCCUGAGUUGGAUGGAUUUGAAGUUGCAUCAAGAAUCAGGAAGUUCCGAAGCCGUAGUUGGCCAUUAAUUGUUGCGCUGACGGCAAGUGCUGAUGAUGAGAUGUGGGAAAGAUGUUUGCAGAUUGGAAUGAAUGGUGUCAUUCAGAAACCAGUUAUGCUUCAAGGAAUUGCAAACGAGCUUCGAAGAGUCCUUGUGCAGGCAAACAAAGCCAUCUGAUGACAUCCUGUAAGUUAUAUGAUUGCAGUUAGCCUUGAUUCUUGGAAAGCAGUUUUGGGGUCUGAUAGAACUAGUCAAAUAGCUACAAUUUGAUGGCCCCCUCCUAAAACUCCCACCAAGCUUCUAGCAUAGAAAUGUUUACAUAUACAAACAUUUACAGUGACAAUGGUAUACAAAAUUAGCUCCUUGCCAUUUCAUAAUUGCAAACAAAGAUGCACAUCUCAUAAAUUAUCUAAUUGUCUUAAACAAUACUCUUUACAUGAGCAGACAGCAUUGCGAGUUUGAAUGCAGGUUCUUAUGCAGGUGGUGGAGAGGAUAUUAAUGGUACAGAAGAGGUGAAUAACAGUACAUAGCGAGGAUUUAAAACCUGGCAAGCAUUAUAUUAUUCCCACAAUUCCCACAACAUAACUAAUACAAGUUGUCGUAGAUUUAUGUAUCAUUUUGUCUACGACAUGGAUAUCCAGAAGUUUAAUGUCAAGGUUUGUUUCAUGCAAUGAUUGAGACUUUCGCAGGCUUGCUAGUUAUUGCCUCGUGAAAUGAAUGAUCACGUGCCUUGCACAUACAGUCACCUCGCUGGCCAGGAAGGCAGGAUGUAUAGAUGUCGCAGAAUGUGGGCAGAAUAAUGGUAAUGUUAUUGGUAUGCUUCUGGUUUGGUUUCGUCAAAAAAAGCCAUGCAUGAAUCUCAAUACGUACGUACUAUUUUUGGGUUGAAAUAUCAAGCCAAGUGGACCCAUAUCAACAUGGGUUUUUCAAAUGAUUUAUAUUAACCUCACAUGAGAAGCUUUAUUGUAAUUUUCCAUGUGGGGAGUGAUUUAUCUUUAAGCUUGGCUUAGAUGGGUUUAUUCUAUAUAUAGAUAUAUUAUCCUUAAUAUUAUAAUAAUUAGUUUGCAACUUGCAACGCUUUUAUGGAUUUAGUUAUCCACGCCUUGGAAUUUUGGCCUAUGUGCAUAUGUUUUAGUUGUUAUCAUCUUCUUAUUUGUAGCACUUGACGUUAGAUCCUUUCUUCGAAUUAAUGUCCAUUGAAA
rnacentral:misc_RNA from 1 species